CAACUCUAAAUUUCAGUUUCCCUCUCCAUCUCCAUUCUAAACCCUAUCUCCCUCCUUCCCCAAUUGCAAAUUCUCCACCUUCUCAAAAUUCUCCAACAAAAUUUGUUCAGUUUCCCUCUCCAUCUCCAUUCUAAACCCUAUCUCCCUCCUGCUUCACAUCGGCUAUAUACUCCACCGCCUCGAUACUUAAUAACAAAAGAAUUCCCUAAAACCUCAACCACCCCUACAAAAACCCUCACGAUCAUGAAUCAUUCUUUCAGUCCAUUACUCUCAAAGUCACAGCCAUGGACAUCAUCUGCUUCAAGCUAGACACAACCCAUAUGAUAAUGACAUCACAUAUGAACAAUGGAAUUUUGGUUAAUAAAGUGUUAAUUUAGUUUACAGUGGCUCCCUCAAGAACGCAGAGCCAUCCUUAUUUGAUUUCAUUCAGAUGGGUUUGGUUGAAGUUGCACGCAAGAUGUUUGAUGAAACGUGUGAGAGAGGUGUGGUUUGGGAUUCUUCUACUUCCAAGGUUUUGAUCACUAGGUAUUGUGAGAAUCUACAAAUUGAUUGCUGGGUUUAAUCGAUGAUGGUAGUGUUGGCCGUGCUCUUCAAAAAUCAGGAACAAAUUUGAAUCAGUUAGCUGGUGUGGCAGUGUCUAGACCAGAAGGAGAGCUUGCUAAAGAUGGAAGAGAAUCUCCUGCAUCUAGACAAAUGUUAAAGAAAUCAUCUUUUGGAAAAACAUCCCAAGAAAACACAAAAGGAAAUCUUGUGGUGAAAAGGCAGUCACUACUUCUUUGGGUAUCCCAAUCAGAAUGAACAACUGAUUUGCCACCUCUGUGCUUGUGAAUGGUUUGUACCAUGGGGAUCAAACUCGUGUUUCUGUGGAGUAUGAAGUGCCAGAAGGGAUUACAAAGUUGCCACCAGAUAUUAAAUCACUGAUAAUAUGGCAGCCUGAACAUUUGGAAGAUGGAGAUGGCGAUUCUAUACCCCUAGAAGUGGACCAUAUACUUGUUAAGUUCACCUGACCCCACCAGAAUUUACAGAAGCAUUUGGAAAGUUAUAUGGAAGCUCAAAACAGGGAACCCGCAAUUAUAAAGGUUAUGCUGGUGUUCAUGACAACUGCAUCAAGUACGUCCUUUUACCAUUCUUACCUUCUUAUUUCAUUUUUUUCACAUUUUGUUUAAUUAACUUCACACACUUUGUGUUCUUAGUUGCAUUGUGCCAGUAAAGAAAUCAAAGAGUACCAAAUUGACCAGCUUUAACACUUCAGGUAGGGGCGCAAACGAGCCGAGCUACUCGUGAGCUACUCGAGCUCGGCUCGAAAAAAGCUUGGAUGAACUCGAACCCGCGCCCAAGCUCAAAAACAUGCUCGUUUAGUAAGCGAACCCGAGCCCAAGCUGAGCUUAUCUAGCUCGAGCCUAAACGAGCUCACUGUUUAUAUAAUUCAUUUAUAUAUUACAUAUAUAUUUAAAUAGUAAUAGUUACUAUUUAUAAAAUUAUGAAAAAAUAACUUAUUAUAUAUAAAAAUAGUUAUAAUUAAUAUAAAUCAUUUAAUAAAUAAAAAAACGAGCCGAGCCUGAGUCGAGCUUUAGAAUAAACCUUGAAUUGAGCCGAGCUCAAGCUUUUGUAAGUUAAACGAGCUCGAGCCUGAUUGAGCUCGGGCUCGGCUCGGCUCGUUGGCAGAAAACCAAAGGACCGAUUUCAUACAUAACUGAUACUCGAUGUUAUCCACCGUGUCCAGAUUUUGGUUCUUGAUUUUAUACAAUCUCGGGUUCCGGGUCAGGUUUGCAGAGAGUUGAGGUUUCAUUUUUCUUUAUUAUUUUCUGGUCUUUUGGCGCUGGCUGGGGUUUAUACAUAAUUCUUGAUGAAGAAGAAUAAUGACACCUUAUAUUGGCAGAAUGUUCAGCUGUAUACGCAGGUUCCGUUUUUCUUUAUCAUUUUCUGUUUUUAUAGUAGAAAAAUGUGAUUAUGAUGUUUAUACGGUUGCCUGCUACAUGUUUAUUUCAAGUUUGGGGCAAUAUUUAACAUCGGACGGCUUUUUUGGAUGAUUUUAGAGGGUUUGAGAAUGGGCCAUGGUGGGACCACCUUUUCAAUGGCUACACCAUCACACCAUGGCUUGUGGUAUUAAAUAUAGGUUUCACUGGUCUUCUGGUGUCAUGGUUAAUGACAUAUGCUGGAAAUAUCGUAAAGGAGCUGGCUCAAAAGCACACUAGGAGUCUCCUACUGGUUGUGGUUUGUACAAUUAUGGGAUGAGUUUUGUAAAAAGAAGCACCCAAAUGAGUCAUCAUCUUAGAGGGCUAAUGUGAUCCGUGUUUAAUUGAGACCCAAGGAAACAUUUGAAGAACAUAGUCCCUGGUCUCCCUCGACUCCCAGCUAAUGGGGCACGAGAAAGCACAUGGUUUUGCCCAACAAUGCCCUUGGAGUGGUGUUACACUUGCAAUGGUUUAAACAGUUCCAAAGCCAUCACCACAUGUACACUGAUUCUUGGAAUGCUUACAAUUGUUUUAUUAGUUUUAUAUUCAGCUCUACGUGCUGGUUCUUCGAAAACAUUCCUAUCCCCUCCAUCUUCUCUGAGAGCAGGCGAACGAUCACCAUUUCUAGAAUCGGAAGAACUGGAAUCAAGCAAAGGCAAGAAAGAAGUGAAAGCAAAACUUGUGAGUUAUUCGUACGCGUUUUUCCAUAUUAUAGGUGAGCAUGUAUUCGGGCAUGCUUUUAUUGUGAUUGAGCAGUUCAAAAAGAAGCUUGGAUCUCAUUGAUGCUGUGUGGCUAGUCAUUGAUUGAAUUGUUCACAACUUGAAUCUAGUGACUGGUCAUUGAUUUUGCAAUCAAAUCUUGGAGCAUUUCACAAAUUCAAAACAACCGGAUAUAAAUUUGCAGCACUUUCAAGUCUAAAAGCAAUGAGUAUAUGGAUUUGAAGACAACCUAGAAUUAGUUCUUAGUUUAUGUGUAGAGGCAUUCCCUUUACAACAUUUGUAGAUAGAUUUUGAUUAGAAGUUUGUCUUUAAUUAGUAUUUAAGUUGAAAACUUAUGUAUGGAUUUUGAUUUAUUAUUGUUAAUAUCAUUUGGUUUUUAGGUUU